UAGGGAAUCUUCCGCAAUGGGCGAAAGCUUGACGGAGCAACGCCGCGUGAGUGAUGAAGGUCUUCGGAUCGUAAAACUCUGUUAUUAGGGAAGAACAAAUGUGUAAGUAACUAUGCACGUCUUGACGGUACCUAAUCAGAAAGCCACGGCUAACUACGUGCCAGCAGCCGCGGUAAUACGUAGGUGGCAAGCGUUAUCCGGAAUUAUUGGGCGUAAAGCGCGCGUAGGCGGUUUUUUAAGUCUGAUGUGAAAGCCCACGGCUCAACCGUGGAGGGUCAUUGGAAACUGGAAAACUUGAGUGCAGAAGAGGAAAGUGGAAUUCCAUGUGUAGCGGUGAAAUGCGCAGAGAUAUGGAGGAACACCAGUGGCGAAGGCGACUUUCUGGUCUGUAACUGACGCUGAUGUGCGAAAGCGUGGGGAGCGAACAGG
rnacentral:rRNA from 1 species